rnacentral:rRNA from 1 species
GNANUGGGCGAAGCCUGAUGCAGCGACGCCGCGUGGGGGAUGAAGCUUUUCGGAGUGUAAACCCCUUUCGCCUGGGACGAAUGCCCGCAAGGGAGUGACGGUACCAGGAUAAGAAGCCCCGGCUAACUACGUGCCAGCAGCCGCGGUAAGACGUAGGGGGCCAGCGUUGUUCGGAAUUACUGGGUGUAAAGGGUUCGUAGGCGGUGUGGCAAGUUGGGAGUGAAAUCUCUGGGCUCAACCCAGAGGCUGCUUCCAAAACUGCUGUGCUUGAGUGUGAGAGAGGCUCGUGGAAUUGCAGGUGUAGCGGUGAAAUGCGUAGAUAUCUGCAGGAACACCCGUGGCGAAAGCGGCGAGCUGGAUCAUUACUGACGCUGAGGAACGAAAGCUAGGGGAGCAAACAGGAUUAGAUACCCUGGUAGUCCUAGCCCUAAACGAUCAGGACUUGGGGUGCCGCCCGUUCGGGCGUCGUCCCGGAGCUAACGCGUUAAGUCCUGCACCUGGGGAGUACGGUCGCAAGACUGAAACUCAAAGAAAUUGACGGA